ensembl:lncRNA
UCCUCUAAAAAAAAAAUAAAGAAAAAGAAAGAUUGUUGAGGGUCCCCUUCUUCCUGGUAUGGGGGAGGGAACCAUGUUACAAGUGGAAAUUCCCUUUACAAAAGAGAAGUGUUGUGUUUUUAGAGUUUUUCCUAUGGGUUCUCAGUGGCUUUAGUUCAAAAUAAUCCAUAUGCCAAAGAGCCAUACUAGGGGUGGCAUGUUCUGGACUUCUCGGCCACAGGUCAGGACCACCGCACUGGCUCAUUUAACUCGUCUGCCUGCACCUGUUUCUCCCAACCCAGCUGACCUCCCACCUCGCUCAGACGGACUUCACUACAGCGUGGCAGCAUGAACCUGCUCACUUGUGUGUUUGACCUUCAGAGGCUCCAAAGGCCCCCGGGGUUAAAGGUCAGAUUCCUGACUCAGGCCCCGCCCCGUAUCUCUUACAGCUGGGUUGACCAGAUCUCGCUUCUUCAAGAACGUGUCCUGUUGACCGGCUGUUUGGCGUGACUGACUCUCUGUUGUUGUGUGUAGGGUUUUUAAAGAUGUUUUGGGGACUUAUUCUUGUAUGACCAAGAUAACCCAAGGAUAUUUUGACAUGGCAUAAAACCCACUGAGUUUUUAUCUUUUAAAAAUAUUGCCCAAUGAUGGACAUGACAGAAAUGCUCUCCUUCUCCUUAAUCCUUGUCUUUUCUCUCGACCCCAGCUCUCUUCACUGCCGCUCACGGGCAGGUGAGGUUUGGCGGUAGGUGUUGGUGGCUUAUUAUUGUAACACCUUGAAGUGAGUUUCCUAAUAUGGACGAGCACAGUGUCCUCCACAGGAAAUGCUGGCUUUAAAAAGCCCGAGUCAAAACCUCUUUGUUCCGGUCUCGUCUCCAGGGCAGACCGUGUUAACUCUGCUCCCACACUGUCCCCAGACCACUCAGGACUGUCCUCUCUCUGUGCCUUUCCUCAUCCGCUUAUUCCCAACCACAUCGUGACUCCUCCGCCCCUUUUCCUGUCCGGGCAUCCUCCAGGAGAAAGCGCAGGUGUCCCACUGUUGACAUCAUCCCCUGCAGGCCUGUCGCCAGGGGUCCUACUCAGAAUCCCAUGCUUGGUUAUCUGUAUUGAUCAACCAAACUUUGUCACAUCCCCCGGAAACCCCCUUGUGGUUGGUUUCAGCUAUCUUUCAUCUCUCGUGCUUGUAUCAGUUAGCACUGAAUGGUCCUACACAUCACAGAAAACUUCAAGUCACAGAGUCUUCAGCGGGCUGGAAUUGGGGUUUUCUGUCCUACAAAGUCCUGUAGGUACGCCGUCCAGGACAGGUGGGCCAGUUCUGCUCCACGGUCCUCACACAGCCCAGCUCUUCCCGUUCAGCCAUCCACUGUCCCUGGAGGGUGGCCCUGUCCUCACAAAGAAGGUGGUACCCUUGUUCCAGCCUGUUGGAUGGUCGGUCAGACAAAGAAGGGGGCAAAGGCCACCCAUCAGUUGACUCAAACUGUCCAGUACUUUGUCAACAUCUCAGCCAGAGUUUCAUUGCGUUGCCACACCCAGAGGUCAUUGUAUAGAGUCACGGUCUUCUUCCCAGGUGCCUGUGUGUCCAGGCAACACUUUUACCACCAUGGAAGAAGGAGAGAACGGAAACUGGGGGAAAUUAGUCUCUGACAGCCCUCGCCUUCGCAAUCUUCACAUACGCAUGUCUUAAAGGGGACAGGGACCUCUCUCACACAUCUUAACUCACCCCUGGGGCCACCCAUGGGCCUGAAGACAAAACAAAUAAUCGGAAAGUUUCAGCUGCUCAUUUCAGGGGUUUGUGCUCAUUCGAACGUGAUGCUCUGACCCAGCCAUCAUCCUUGAGCUCAACCUCGAGUAAGCACAUUGUCUCCAUUCUUCCUAAAAAGGAUGCAGUUUUAGCCAGUUCAAAAUCAGAAAGUGAACACGUAAAUGGUGAGCGUCUCAUGCUAUCAAGGGAGGAGAAGCUGUUGCCCUUUGAGAUUUGCCCUGCAAAUGGGAUGGGCACAGUUGAGACCCUAAAGAGCUGGGGUAACGGGCUCGGCACCUGCCCCCCGAGGCACGUCGAGGGAAGAGGAAGAAGAGGAAGAACGUAGAAAGUGCAUGUGGUACAGGAGGCCCUCCCAUCACUGGUGACAACCAACACGCUCAGGUUUGUUUGCUUAAAACCGCGACCCCCCAGGAAGUGAAGGAGAGACUUGAGGAGAAAAGUAAGAAACAAAAGUGAUUGUGAACAAGAAAAGUAGGCUUUGUUUCCAGGCCACUCAGAGAAAGUAUGUAAAUAAUGACUUUUACUGGUAAUAACUAGAAUGACUCGUCAUGGACAAAAGUCAUUUCUAUCGUUUUUGUAUGUCCACAGAAAUAUCCCAGAAACCAAAGGUCGUGGUCCCAGAAGAUGUCCUGAUUCUAGGAAAUAAGUGAAACAUAGAAGUCUGGAGUCAGAACAAUCCCAGUAAAUCUUAAUAAAAGGGUUUAUAUUUUAGCACAAAGCAGACACUUGGAAGAAUUGACAAAAAAGGAUCCAGACUUGGCGAAAUGGCAGAUUCCAGGGCUGGGGCUGGGAUGUUGCAAGACGGGCUGAAAACAAUGGGAAAAGAAUGACUUGACAGUGAUGACAUCUGGCAGAUGCCACCUUCAUCAUAAGGCCACAAUUCAUACAAGCCAUGGGACCAGUCGAACCCAUUCACCACCCGGUAGGACCCAGCGAGGAGAGCAUGACAUCAUUUUUGUGAUACUUCUGCCAGAAAUGUGUAUCCUGAAUCCAGCCAGAGGAAACACUAGACAAACCCAACAUUCUACAAUUUGCAAUCAUCUAAAGGGCAUGAGACCAGGGAAAGACUGAGAAACUGGUUUUGAAGAAAAUCAAGGAGACUUUGAGAACCAAACACGACACGAGAUUCUAUACUGGAUCCCUUUAGUAUGAAGGACUUUAGUGGGACAAAUGGUGAAACUUGAAGGGUAUUGGGGACUGGAUGGUGGGGAGGGCUCUGUGCUAAUUGCCCAGGUAUCAAUUCUUCUUGCCUCAGCUUAUCAAUCAAUCCUUACCAAUAAUUAGUAAGACUGCAAAAUGAAAUUAAACAGUUUCCUUUACAUUUUCUGCCUACUGAGAGCUGUAAAACAUGAUGAUGAUAAAGCAAAUAGAAAAAUAAUGUUAGUAAAAGAUAGAAAUAUAAAAGCAUAUUUGGAAGAAAUUAUUCAAUGGAGAAUAAGAAAUGAGAGAAAUAUGUUCAGUGGUGGAAUAGUGCAGCCAGUGGGAUCAAUAUUUUAUUUUUAUCAUCAUUUAUCCUUUUAGCAUCAGACAUUUUGGGACCUUGACCUACUUUUUAGGCUUGACAUUUCAUUUACUUUUAUUGAUUAACUUUUUGUUUUUUUGUUUAUUUAGUUCUGAAGCACUAACAUGCAGGAACAGGAAAAAAACACUGGAAAAUUUGCUCUCAGGAGCUCCCAUCUGGGCCCUAAUGUGACAGAUGCUUAGAAAUUCAAUCCUGAGAAAUAAUGGGAUUAAGCUUGGGAAUAAUAAUGAUGACGUUCAGUUUAUUCAGAGUCUCACUGAGACUUCACAUUGGCACCUUUUCUUAGGAGAGGUGGAAGGGAAAAGGAGCAAGUGAAAGACAGCCUUUUUGUUCUAAUCAUUGAAACUUUGCUUUUGGUUAAUAAUUAGGUCAAUCUAACACAUAACAAUAGAUGCCAGCAGGCAAUACUUCUAAAUAAUUAGAUCUUAAUAUAUAUUAAAGGAAGUAAUUACCAUGAGGAUUAGAAUGAAUGUCUUGAUUACUUAUAUUCACACCAAAUCUCCAAAUUCCUUGCAUGUAACAGCACAUUCUUCAGUCAUCACAAUUCAAGAAUUAUUACUAAUUAAUGGUUCUUAUUCAAAAAUAAUUGAGUCCUACAAUAUUGUCCUGCUUGACUCUAGGAGGCAGAAAUGGGACCAUUUUAUUCUUUCAGAGCAAAUGAAUUUUGUGACUAGCACUGGUUUCUUCUGCAAACACAAAGGACCUUUGUUUCCAAAUGGUCAUUUUAUUCAUUCCGCCAGAGUCCCAUUGGCACCCUUAUAAUUGUGUAUUUCAACAAACCGAACAAAAUGUUUAACUGUAAAAUAUUUUUUGUGUGUAUUGAAAAAAAAACGUAUGUUUUAAAACAAUAAAACCGUACUUUU